UACGUAGGUGGCAAGCGUUGUCCGGAUUUAUUGGGUUUAAAGGGUGCGUAGGCGGUCCUAUAAGUCAGUGCUGAAAUAUCCCGGCUUAACCGGGAGGGUGGCAUUGAUACUGUUGGACUUGAGUAAAGUUGAGGUUGGCGGAAUUGACGGUGUAGCGGUGAAAUGCUUAGAUAUCGUCAAAGAACACCGAUUGCGAAAGGCAGCUAACUAAGCUUUAACUGACGCUGAGGCACGAAAAGUGUGGGGGAUCAAAACAGGAAUUAGAAAACCCCGUGUAGUCCA
rnacentral:rRNA from 1 species